rnacentral:rRNA from 1 species
GACGAACGCUGGCGGCGUGCUUAACACAUGCAAGUCGAACGGAAAGGCCCUGCUUUUGUGGGGUGCUCGAUUGGCGAACGGGUGAGUAACACGUGAGUAACCUGCCCUUGACUUUGGGAUAACUUCAGGAAACUGGGGCUAAUACCGGAUAGGAGCUCCUGCUGCAUGGGGUGGGUUGGAAAAUUUCGGCGGUUGGGUAUGGACUCGCGGCUAUCAACUUGUUGGUGGGGUAGUGGCUUACCAAGGCUUUGACGGGUAGCCGGCCUGAGAGGGUGACCGGCCACAUUGGGACUGAGAUACGGCCCAGACUGCUACGGGAGGCAGCAGUGGGGAAUAUUGCACAAUGGGCGGAAGUCUGAUGCAGCAACGCCGCGUGCGGGAUGACGGCCUUCGGGUUGUAAACCGAUUUCGCCUGUGACGAAGAGUGAGUGACGGUAAUGGGUAAAGAAGCACCGGCUAACUACGUG